rnacentral:lncRNA from 1 species
UGUGCUCUUGGAUUGGAUCUCAGGUUCAUCAUACAUCCUGCAGGAAGGCUUCGGGAAGACGUAUCCAAAAUCAUUUGUAUUAAGGUAGAAUUUUCAUGGAUAUGGAUGACACCAGGUGGUUUCGAACGCAGCUUAAAGACCACAAUCUUGAUCUCUCCUCCACCUGGUCUGUUGCAAUUUCCUUGUAAAUUUGUUAUCCAUAUUUUAUUUAUAUGGUAUAUUGAUUUAAAGAGAAGGUUCAGUUUCGUGUUGAUUGGGGGUAAUUGGCAGCAG